UUCUGUUUAGUGUCUGUUCACCUGGCAGAACUGUUUCGGUUUCUCUUCGUUGUUAUUUUGUGUAGUGUUCAGUUUGCUCAAUUAAAACAUGUCGAACACUUAGCACGCUGCAUCUAGGUCCUCACCUUCUUCCACCAACAGCCGUUACAGAAACACCCACCAACCAAGGACCAAGCAGCGUGGUAUCGAGCAGCAGCGUUCUCUGGACUCAUGGACAUGGGAGGAGAUUUUAGACGGACAGUGUGGUAGACUGUCGGCUCUCAGACCUUCGUGAGGAGGACACUGUAAAAGGACAAGCAGGGACAGGAGAGACUGAAGAACGUGCUGAGGAACAAUCACAUCGUCAGAGGACACGACUUCACAUCCCAGGGUGUUGGUCUACACUGAGAAGACAGGUGAGGAGAAGGGUCGUGUGAGAAGUCUGGUUGUCAAACAGACUAAGAUCCUGGGGAAGGCAUCCUACAAGCAGAUGGCUUACUACCCCACCACUGGCCCUGCCUCCUACUCCUGUCGGCCAACCAAACACCGGCUGCACAUCCAGGUCCACCGCAGCUACUCCAAGUUAGCCGACUCUGCCCACCAGAGGCUCCCACCUCAGGUCCUCCAGGACCCUAUUCUGCAUGUUCCUCAUCCUUGUAUGUUUUCAUUUCCUUAUACCAUACAUUUAGCAUGCCAGCCUGCCUGCAUUUUUGAUUGAUGACUCCCAUGUCCUUGGAGAUGUAACGAACUUGUAAAGACUAUAAAAUAAUGAUGAGCUUUGAAAAUUGUUCCUGUUAUGACUCUGCACGUGAUAAGCUAUAGACCUAGUGUAAUUGAUGUACAGAUACAAUUUGAGUUAUGAAAGCCAAUUAUUGUUAUUAUAUGCCUUAUUCUUAUGUUAUGUAAUUCCGGAUACAUUUUGAUGACAUUAUCCCUCAGAUUAAUAUUGUAUAUAAUGUUAUGGCUCUAUGAUGGUGAUAACUUUUUUACAGGUUUGAAUGACACAAUGUAUUCCACUAACCUCAUUCUUUCAAUAAACGUAUUGUUUUAUUGAUAUUAUAUUAUUUGUUUUUCACAAAAAUGCUGGUUUAAAACCAACCUAAUUUGGGCAAAUAUUGGAUAGAACACACGUUGGGUUAUUUUUACUCAGCCAGUUGGGUCCCAAACAACCCAUUGUUUCCUUUAAGGUGGGUUGUUGAUGCUGGAUUUUACACCCAUUUCAAAUAGCUGAAAAU